rnacentral:rRNA from 1 species
ACUGCUCAGUAACACGUCGAUAAUUUGCCCUUUGGUCCGGGAUAACCUUGGGAAACUGAGGACAAUACCGGAUAGAAAAUGGAGGCUGGAAUGCGCCAUUUUUGAAACGUAAGGCCUAAGGAUGAGUCGGCGGCUGAUUAGGUAGUUGGCGGUGUAAUGGACCACCAAGCCGAAGAUCAGUAGGGGCCUUGAGAGAGGGAGCCCCGAGAAGGGCACUGAGACACUGGCCCUAGCCCCACGGGGUGCAGCAGGCGCGAAAACUCCACAAUGCGCGAAAGCGUGAUGGGGGAAUCCCGAGUGCUCAUGUUUUACAUGGGCUUUUGCCAAAUGUAAAUAGUUUGGCGAAUAAGUGGUGGGCAAGACCGGUGCCAGCCGCCGCGGUAACACCGGCGCCACGAGUGGGAAUCACAUUUAUUUGGCCUAAAGCGUUCGUAGCCGGCCUGGUAAAUCUCUUGUGAAAUCGCUUUGUUCAAGCAAGCGACGUGCAGGAGACACUGCCAGGCUAGGGACUGGGAAGAGUCAGGGGUAUGGAUAGGGGAGCAGUAAAAUGCUAUAAUCCUUUCUAGACCACCGGUGGCGAAGGCGCCUGACUAGAACAGAUCCGACGGUGAGGGACGAAAGCUAGGGGAGCAAUCCGGAUUAGAUACCCGAGUAGUCCUAGCCGUAAACGCUGUGAGCAAGGUGUUGCGCAAUCUUCGAGAUUGCGCAGUGUCGAAACGAAGGUAUUAAGCUCACCGCCUGGGAAGUACGGUCGCAAGACUGAAACUUAAAGGAAUUGGCGGGGGAGA